rnacentral:rRNA from 1 species
GGUUUCCUACGGGGGGCAGCAGUGGGGAAUAUUGCACAAUGGGGGAAACCCUGAUGCAGCGACGCCGCGUGAAGGAAGAAGUAUUUCGGUAUGUAAACUUCUAUCAGCAGGGAAGAAAAUGACGGUACCUGACUAAGAAGCCCCGGCUAACUCCGUGCCAGCAGCCGCGGUAAUACGGAGGAUGCGAGCGUUAUCCGGAUUUAUUGGGUUUAAAGGGUGCGCAGGCGGCGUGUCAAGCAAGCGGUAAAAUAGCGGGGCUCAACCCCGUCGAGCCGUUUGAACUGGCGCGCUUGAGUUCAGGCGAG